CAUAGGAAUUUUGAAAGAGCCCCAGGUUGGCCAAUUAAAUUUUAAAUCAUCCCAGGUAAUCAUUGUCCAGAGAGACAGGAAUUUGCAGGAUGAGGACCCAUAAUUCUUAUAUAUAAGACUAGUAGGAUUUCCAGAAGAAGGCUGCCCAGCAGCCUAUCUCUCAAAAAGCAAACUGCAUUUUCAAGAGGAACUAAGUACUCACCAGGGCAACAGACAGGAAGUGAAGUCCUGAGAACAAAAGUGGCAACAGAGGACACUCAAAGCAGAACCUCAGACUGGGAAAUUUGGAUUACAAGAAGACUUAUCAGACUCUGACUGGGACCACUGGGGAGAUGACAGGGCACAACGGACCCUUGUCCGCCUAACCAUAAAUUGGGUAAGAAGAACAACCAGAGGUGCACCCAGCCCAUCAACAUCAACUCUUAUUGUGCACUGUUCAAAACAGUAACCACUAGCCAAAUGUGGCUAUGUAAAUGUAAGAACAUUAACAUGAAAUAAAAACAAAAAUUCAGUUCCUUA